UGCCCAGACUCCUACGGGGGGCAGCAGUGAGGAAUAUUGGUCAAUGGCCGAGAGGCUGAACCAGCCAAGUCGCGUGAGGGAAGAAUGUCCUAUGGAUUGUAAACCUCUUUUGUCAGGGAGCAAAGUCACCCACGUGUGGGUGUUGGAGAGUACCUGAAGAAAAAGCAUCGGCUAACUCCGUGCCAGCAGCCGCGGUAAUACGUAGGGGGCGAGCGUUAUCCGGAAUUACUGGGUGUAAAGGGAGCGUAGACGGCGAGGUAAGCCUGAAGUGGAAGCCCGCGGCCCAACCGCGGAACUGCUUUGGGAACUGUUUUGCUGGAGUAUGGGAGGGGUAAGCGGAAUUCCUGGUGUAGCGGUGAAAUGCGUAGAUAUCAGGAGGAACACCGGUGGCGAAGGCGGCUUACUGGACCAUAACUGACGUUGAGGCUCGAAAGCGUGGGGAGCGAACAGGAUUAGAUACCCUAGUA
rnacentral:rRNA from 1 species